AUUGUAUCCAUCUGUCUCCUUUCCAGCACUACAGCUCUGUCACACUCUUCAAUGAAGCAUGUAGGAGAUGGAGAGGCUUCCUUGAGUCCGCAGAAAGGAACUGACAUGUGGAACUAAUAAUCAGUUGAAACCUGAGGGUUUUGUAUCACAUGACUUGUGAACUGAAGGAGAGCUGAAGAACACGCCAGUCCAAAUUUCAGUGCAUCAUACUGUGGAUUUGAGGUUCCAAUUAAAAACCGUGUUUGGGCCAUUGCUUUGCCUGCCAGUGCUUAAUCUUCUCUGAAAGCCUCAUCACUUAUCUAAAACAACAGAAGAACGAGGUAAGGAGAGAAAGUAAUGAAAUGCAGCAUAGCACAUCUGUCAAAGGAACAGAAAGUAGCUUUAAAAAAAAUGCAGGAUCAAUGACAUUAAAAAAA